UACGUAGGGUGCGAGCGUUAAUCGGAAUUACUGGGCGUAAAGCGUGCGCAGGCGGUUUUGUAAGCCAGAUGUGAAAUCCCCGGGCUUAACCUGGGAAUGGCAUUUGGGACUGCAAGGCUUGAGUGCGGCAGAGGAGACUGGAAUUCCUGGUGUAGCAGUGAAAUGCGUAGAUAUCGUUCGGAACACCAAUAGCGAAGGCAGGCUUCUGGGUGCCACCUGACACUGCUAGGACGAAAGCGUGGGUAGCGAAUGGG
rnacentral:rRNA from 1 species